CCUCCAUGUUUUUGGACACAACUUCUCCUCAGAGAGCCGCCUGCUGUCUCUGUCUGUGUUCGAUCCAACAGCUGUGAUCGUCAGAUGGGUGGUGGUGCCACUGUUUCUCCUGCUUGUGCAGGGGGCGCUGUGGCUGUACUGUAAGGCCAGCAGGGGGCAGACCGGCAGACCGGCAGACCGGGCGGACGCUGAGCGGAGUGCAGUGGAGGGAUGAAGUCGGUCCUCUGAACCUUCCUGCUGUGAAGACAAGAAGUUUUUAUGAGCUUUUUCCAGAAAUGAUGAAUCUGAUCAUGUUCCUACAGACAGUGGAACAAGGUUCAUUUUCCUUCUGAGGACUGUCGUGAAUAAGCGGAGCAUUCUUUUGCCAAAUACUGGACCACAGUGGAUGUCU